AUGCAGUCGACGGUAACAGGCCUUCGGGCGCUGACGAGUGGCGGACGGGUGAGUAACGCGUAGGAAUCUGCCUUAUAGUGGGGGACAACGUGGGGAAACCCACGCUAAUACCGCAUACGCCCUACGGGGGAAAGCGGGGGAUCUUCGGACCUCGCGCUAUGAGAUGAGCCUGCGUUAGAUUAGCUAGUUGGUAGGGUAAAGGCCUACCAAGGCCACGAUCUAUAGCUGGUCUGAGAGGACGAUCAGCCACACUGGGACUGAGACACGGCCCAGACUCCUACGGGAGGCAGCAGUGGGGAAUAUUGGACAAUGGGCGCAAGCCUGAUCCAGCAAUACCGCGUGUGUGAAGAAGGCCCUAGGGUUGUAAAGCACUUUCAAUUGGGAGGAAAACCUGCCGGUCAAUACCCGGUAGCUUGACAUUACCUUUAGAAGAAGCACCGGCUAACUCCGUGCCAGCAGCCGCGGUAAUACGGAGGGUGCGAGCGUUAAUCGGAAUUACUGGGCGUAAAGCGUGCGUAGGCGGUUCGUUAAGUCAGAUGUGAAAGCCCCGGGCUCAACCUGGGAACUGCAUUUGAAACUGGCGGACUAGAGUUGAGUAGAGGGGAGUGGAAUUUCAGGUGUAGCGGUGAAAUGCGUAGAUAUCUGAAGGAACACCAGUGGCGAAGGCGACUCCCUGGACUCAAACUGACGCUGAGGUACGAAAGCGUGGGUAGCAAACAGGAUUAGAUACCCUGGUAGUCCACGCCGUAAACGAUGUCAACUAGCCGUUGGUCCUAUUUACAGGAUUAGUGGCGCAGCUAACGCAUUAAGUUGACCGCCUGGGGAGUACGGCCGCAAGGUUAAAACUCAAAUGAAUUGACGGGGGCCCGCACAAGCGGUGGAGCAUGUGGGUUUAUUCGAUGCAACGCGAAGAACCUUACCUACCCUUGACAUCCAGAGAAUCUGUAGAGAUAGUUAAAUGCCUUCGGGAGCUCUGAGACAGGUGCUGCAUGGCUGUCGUCAGCUUCGUGUCGUGAAAUGUUGGGUUUAAGUCCGUAACGAGCGC
rnacentral:rRNA from 1 species